rnacentral:rRNA from 1 species
UACGAAGGGGGCUAGCGUUGCUCGGAAUCACUGGGCGUAAAGCGCACGUAGGCGGAUUGUUAAGUCGGAGGUGAAAUCCUGGAGCUCAACUCCAGAACUGCCUUCGAUACUGGCGAUCUUGAGUCCGGAAGAGGUGAGUGGAACUCCUAGUGUAGAGGUGGAAUUCGUAGAUAUUAGGAAGAACACCAGUGGCGAAGGCGGCUCACUGGUCCGGUACUGACGCUGAGGUGACGAAAGGCGUGGGGAGCAAACAGG